rnacentral:rRNA from 1 species
UACGUAGGGGGCAAGCGUUGUCCGGAAUCAUUGGGCGUAAAGAGCGUGUAGGCGGCCCGAUAAGUCCGCUGUGAAAGUCCAGGGCUCAACCCUGGAAUGCCGGUGGAUACUGUCGGGCUCGAGUUCGGAAGAGGUGAGUGGAAUUCCUGGUGUAGCGGUGAAAUGCGCAGAUAUCAGGAAGAACACCUAUGGCGAAGGCAGCUCGCUGGGACGUUACUGACACUGAGGCGCGAAAGCGUGGGGAGCGAACAGG